GGUCUGGUGAGGGUGAGAAACGCAUAAAAGUUGUCUUCUCGCUGGCUAGUAAAAUUUCUCCCAGCAUUAUUUUGGUAGAUGAAGUUGAUAGUAUGCUGGGACGAAGGGAAAAUCCAGAAGAACAUGAGGCAAUGCGCAGAUUGAAAAAUGAAUUCAUGCUGAAUUGGGAUGGGUUAAGCACAAAGGAUACCGAACGAGUUCUGGUACUUGCAGCAACAAACAGGCCAUUUGACCUUGAGGAAGCUGUUAUAAGGCGACUGCCACGCAGGUAAAACAGGAAUGACUAAUUUACCAGAUGCUCCAAACAGAUCAAAAAUUCUAAAAGUGAUACUCGCAAAAGAAGACUUGGCUCAGGAUAUUGAUCUGGAAUCAGUUGCAAGUAUGACCGAUGGAUAUUCCAGAAGUGACCUUAAGAAUCUUUGUGCAACCGCUGCAUAUCGACCCAUUAGAGAUAUCCUAGAAAAGGAAAAAAAGG